UACGGAGGAUCCGAGCGUUAUCCGGAUUUAUUGGGUUUAAAGGGUGCGCAGGCGGGAGAUUAAGUCGGCGGUGAAAUUUUGCAGCUCAACUGUAAAAGUGCCUUCGAAACUGGUUUCCUUGAGUGUAGAUGAAGUAGGCGGAAUUUGUGGUGUAGCGGUGAAAUGCUUAGAUAUCACGAGGAACUCCGAUUGCGCAGGCAGCUUACUAAACCACUACUGACGCUCAGGCACGAAGGCGUGGGGAUCAAACAGGAUUAGAUAUCCGUGUAGU
rnacentral:rRNA from 1 species